GCCUGGGUGGCUUAGUUGGUUAAGCGUCUGACUCUUGGUUUUGACUCAGGUCAUGAUCUCACAGUUGUGGGUUCAAGUCCCAUAUUGGGUU
rnacentral:tRNA from 1 species